CUUCCUUCAAAACACUCUUCUUCUUACUCUUUCUCCUUCUCACCCCGUUACCCUUUUUUAUGUUCGCUCUUCCCCUCUUGUCACUUCCUGGGGCACUUUGCGGAUUAAAUUCGUCCCCAUCCAAGACCAGCUCUCUUGGCCGCGCUGCUUGUGGGCUUUGGAUGGCGAGCACUGGUAUGCGUUUUGGUGUAGAAAGAUGGGAGGGAAUUGGAGGGACAGGAGGGAUAGGGCUGGAUGCGACAGGAAGCAGCAGGGCAGCUUGUAACGACUUGAUUGAUCGCUGUUUCUUCAGUCCGCGAGACACUGUGUUACUGGCCUUUGGGGUUUCGCAACCUCCUGAAGCUUUGACUUUGGGUGGGGUUCCUGGUUUGUAGAAGAAUGAUUUAGAGAAAUCAACACCCACACCCCUCGCACUAUACAAGGAUUCUCCCUCACCUCCAUCACUCUUUUUCUUCAUAGGACUCCAUCCAGCAAACUGCUCCCCUUGCUGCUUCCAGUCCAUCCUCGGGCUCAACACUAAGGGAUCAUCUCUAUCGGCUUCUGCAUAUUGACCCAAAACAGCGUCGCGCAACUUUGCAAUGGAUGGUCGCAAGCGCAAAAGGGAAAUCGGUCCUGAAGACUGUUUGGCCUUUGGGGUAGGAAUUGGGGGUAAGUCUUCGGCGUCUCCUGAAGCAGAAUCACAGAUGACUGGCCCAGCUGUGACAAGUCGAGGUUGAGCAGGAGUCGGGGCUGUCACUUUGAUGGGUAUGGAAGGAUUCCAAGAAGAUGUAGCAGGAGUUGGGCUUGGAGUCUGAGUAGAACCGAGAAGAGCGUUGCGGAUGGAUCUGAGCCAACCGGCAGGAAGAGAAGGGCUUUCUGUGUCGGACUUUUUCAGAUUGGGGGUUGAGUGAGCCAGGCGGAGUUUGGUUGCCCGAUCACCAUAUUUUAAAGGCUUUGCCGGUUCUGGAACCUUGUCCAUCUUUUCCUCAGGGGGAGCGACAUCGACAGGGGGAGAAGGGAGAGGAAUCUUCGGAGCUUCAUGGGGACGGGAGGCGUCCACCUGUGGAAGGACCCACGUUCUCAUUGGAGGAGAGUCGCAUUCCAAAUCUUCAUCGUACUCGACUGCGCUUGCCAACAACCUCUUCCCAACUUCAUUGACCUCAUCGAGUAAUCCAUCAUCCACUUCAUUCUCAAAGUCCCUGAUUUCUCUCUCCGCGCGGUCAUCACUCGGUGUCCUGCUGUGCAUGGAAUGGGCGGAUUCUGAGGCGGAAUACGAACCGAUAGAGUAAACGUCGUAAUCAUUUACACCCAUAGCGUACAAGGCUUCAUCUUCAUCGCACUGGGCCUCAUAAUCAUCAGGAAGUGGACAAUAGCCAAAAGCAUCAUCAGAUAAAGCCUGGGGAGGUGGAGGUGAGGAAAAGAUAUCUCUGUCCAUUGGACAAGUUGCCGUUUUUGUGGUUGUGUAGCCUGUGGCCGCCGUCAUCUCAUGGGGAAUGCUCGCCUGCCUCAUUUGAGGCAAAGGCGGCCGCUCUUCUUGUGGCGGAGAUUCUGUCUCGGCCCUCCUCCAUCUACCUCUUUCUACAUCCCAAGCGGAUUGGACUUUCCUCACACCUUCUCCAUUUUUCGCAAGGCCUAGACCGACUUUUGUGGGCGCUUCUGGGGACGAAAUCUUCUGGGUUUUGCCCCACGUUGUCCACCAGGAAUGCUCCGGAGCCUCCUCCUUGACAGCGGCUUUGGACCUGGCGGCCGCUUGAAGGGCAAGGGAGCGAAGAAUGGAUGCUGAUCUCUUCAUAGGUAUGAUAGGUUCCGUUACAUUCUGGUGCGCAUGGUGAAUGCCUAGUCCUCUUGUCCUGUCAAAUCCAUAAGUCCCAUAAAGCGCGUUGACUUCCUCCUCAUUAUCGUCCAACGUUUUUUUGAUGUGUUUUCGCACCUUUUCUGCUUCAGGGGUGUACACUCUAGUCUCUUUGUAUCCCGCCCGCUGGAGAAGGUCCUGGAGAGAGGUGUAUUCGUUCAGAGGAGCUGAAGGAAUGGGGGGAGAUGCGACAGAGGAGUCUAUGGAUGGAAUAGGAUAGGUACGUGGAGGACGGGAUGGGCCGGAAGGUGACUGGGAGAGGGACGGAGGAUAUCGUUGGAUGGUAGUUGGGGUGUGAGGAACAGUCAUUAUAUGCUAAUGUAAACUAAGGCAAGUUUAGUAUACGUGUUGGGAUGGUCGGAGGCGAAUGCGCGUCGUCACUCACUAUAUGGAUGGCGGCUUUUGGUCACCGCUCAAACAAACAAUAUUGCUGGAUGAGUGUCAGACGGACAACCACGAAAGCGCUAGGCAAGGCAGAUAGGAAAAGGGAAUGGGAAGAGCGGACGUUGACCUAGUGCUAUAGAGGCGGGGAUCGUGUCUACGAAGAGAUGAUAUGUAUCAGCUUAUAACCCGUACUGG
rnacentral:sRNA from 1 species